GAUGAACGCUGGCGGCGUGCCUAAUACAUGCAAGUCGAACGCUGGAAAUCUAGCUUGCUAGAUUGAAGGAGUGGCGAACGGGUGAGUAAUACAUAAGCAACCUACCCACGAAGACUGGGAUAAUCUCUGGAAACGGGGACUAAUACCGGAUAGGUAAUCGGAAGGCAUCUUCUGAUUAUUAAAGGUUAAAAACACUGGUGGAUGGGCUUAUGGCGCAUUAGUUAGUUGGUGAGGUAACGGCCCACCAAGACGAUGAUGCGUAGCCGGCCUGAGAGGGUGAACGGCCACAUUGGGACUGAGACACGGCCCAGACUCCUACGGGAGGCAGCAGUAGGGAAUUUUCGGCGAUGGGGGAAACCCUGACCGAGUAACGCCGCGUGAGUGAUGACGGCCUUCGGGUUGUAAAGCUCUGUUGUAAGGGAAGAACGGUAGAUAGAGAAUAUCUAAAUGACGGUACCUUACCAGAAAGCCACGGCUAACUACGUG
rnacentral:rRNA from 1 species